UAAAAGAGUGGUUAAAUUGGCUUCGAAAUUACAUUGGUUAUGAUGGGUGGCGCCUCGACUUUGUGAGGGGCUUCUCAGGUUCUUAUGUAAAAGAAUAUAUUGAAGCUUCAAAUCCUGCAUUUGCUAUUGGAGAAUAUUGGGAUAGUUUAGGUUAUGAGCAUGGCGACUUGUGUUACAACCAAGGUAAGAACUUAAGGCCCGAAAGAAACUCUUCACUUAAGGAUUUUAGCUGUUAUGUUUGCUCAAUGUUGAGAGAUCUGUGUGCAUUCACAUACAGUUUAUUUACCUGCUACCUCACUGUUUUCAGGGUGGCAUUUUUUUUUUUUUAAUUUUUUUUUCAAGUUCCUACAAACUUGUUGAAUUGAUCUUCCAGAUUGGGGCAUAGAAUACAAGAUUUCUAAAAUACCAUGUUUGAUUAUUCAUCUGGGGUCUAGAUGUCUGGAGACUAUUUUGGCUACCCAAGAUGGGUUAAGAUUUUGAUCUUGCUCUACCAAUACGUACGUGGACCUAGAAUUAUUUUACAAAACAAUGAGUUAGAAAUUGAAGCAAGGGAACCUGAAUCAUGUCAUUUAUGUCAUGCACUAUUUGUUAGGCAGCUAGAAAAGAUCAGUUUACUUUAUAUAAGAUACACUCUUUUAUUUAUUUAUUUACUUUUGUGCGUGUGGGGAUGGAACACUCAAAUUAUAGAUGAUCAUAGGCAAAGGAUAGUCAAUUGGAUCAAUGCCACAGGGGGUACUUCAUCAGCAUUUGAUGUCACAACAAAGGUGAUGUUUCUGCUUUCUCAAGUUUCUCAUAAUAUCUAUUUUAAUUUCCCAGAUAUUUCAUUUCUUAUUUUACUUAUUUUCAAUGAAAGAUGUAAACUCUUGAGGUAUUGCCCUUGUGCAGGGAAUCCUCUACUCUGCUCUGCAUAAUCAAUACUGGAGAUUGAUAUAUCCUCAAGGCAAACCAACUGGAGUUAUGGGAUGGUGGCCUUCGCGUGCUGUCACAUUUCUAGAGAACCAUGAUACAGGAUCAACACAGGGUCACUGGCCAUUUCCACGAGAUAAGCUUGCACAGGGAUAUGCCUAUAUUCUGACCCAUCCUGGAACAGUAAG